GGGGAAACAGCGAUAUAUUGGUAAAUUGUAUAAGAAAAUUGACCUAUCUUGCAUCCUUCUUAACAAUUAUGUCUCUUGAUGCUUAUCCAACUAAUUCAGCACUAGAUAAGACUAACUGAUCCUAAAAUUCUAUAGAAACACAUGCCAGCAAACAAAGGUAUCCAACGUAUUUUGGUCUAAGGCAUAAAUAACUUAGGUCAUUCAUCCACUCAGAUUAUGAAGUUAGUUUAGUUAAUGGAAAAUUUGAGAAAUAGUCAGACUCAAGGGUGUAUAUUUCUCUAUCUUUUGGACCAAUACAGUCAAAAAGAAAAAGACGAUGCACUUUGGAAAUAUGAAGGAUACGAUGUCUCUGAUAUUGACCUUGGCAGUGUUGGUGAUAUAUAAUUAAAUUUGCCUUCAACCACUAGCUUAAGCUUUUAGGUGAAUUGGUGGUUUAAUAUGGUAUCAGUGCAGGUGGUCCAAGGAGGUCCUAUGUUCAAGCCCCUACAUUGUCGUUUCCUCUCUAAUUAAAAUCAAUUUCCACUUGUUGGACCUUUCAAAUAUUUCAAACCAAAAAAGUGAGGUAAAAUUGAUUCCACUUGUUGGACCUUUCAAAUAUUUCAAGUUCACAAGUGAGGGGGAGUGUUGGUGAUAUAUAAUUAAAUUAGUCUUCAAACACUAGCUUAAGCUUUUGGAUGAAUUGGUGGUUUAAUAAGCAGUAUCGAUGUAAUGGAUUAAUCCAUUGAGUCGUGAAGGAUGAAUUAGUGCACUUCUCAAAAUUCGUUUUUGGACGUGUUUUCUUAGCUUGGUGGGAAUAGUUUGGUUGCUUUGGCUUGUUGAUCGGUUGAAUAACACUUGAGUAUUUUGUUAAAAGAUAUAUACAAAUGAAUUUGUUCGAGUAAUAUUUAGAGUUUUCCGAUUUUUUGUAAUUUGGUUUGUAAUUUGUCUUUGAAACCGAAGCCCAUAGAGAGGCAUGGAAUCUCACCAAGGACCGAACCUCAAAAGGAUUUGCACCUCUAAACACUAUAGGUUGUCUGGGGGCCUGCAAUAGAAUAAGUUUGUAGUGGAAUGGAAUCAAAAGCUCAAGUUUGGAUUGACUGUUUUGAGCUUGAUUUGUAAUACCAAACUCAUUCUAUGCUCACAGUUUUCAACCUAACCCAUUUUCACACUCCACAAUCCAAUUUCUGUUCUACCCUCGAUUCCUCACUCAUUCCAAC
rnacentral:lncRNA from 1 species